rnacentral:rRNA from 1 species
UACAGAGGGUGCGAGCGUUAAUCGGAAUUACUGGGCGUAAAGCGUGCGUAGACGGUAGCGUAAGUCGGGUGUGAAAGCCCUGGGCUCAACCUGGGAAUUGCAUUCGAGACUGCUCUGCUAGGGUGCGGAAGAGGGAAGCGGAAUUUCCGGUGUAGCGGUGAAAUGCGUAGAUAUCGGAAGGAACACCAGUGGCGAAAGCGGCUUCCUGGUCCAGCACCGACGUUCAGGCACGAAAGCGUGGGGAGCAAACAGG